GAUGAACGCUGGCGGCGUGCCUAAUACAUGCAAGUCGAGCGAACAGACGAGAGUGCUUGCACUCUCUGACGUUAGCGGCGGACGGGUGAGUAACACGUGGGUAACCUACCUAUAAGACUGGGAUAACUUCGGGAAACCGGAGCUAAUACCGGAUAAUAUUUAGCUUCGCAUGAAGCAAUAGUGAAAGACGGUUCUGCUGUCACUUAUAGAUGGACCCGCGGUGUAGUAGCUAGUUGGUGUGGUAACGGCUCACCAAGGCAACGAUACAUAGCCGACCUGAGAGGGUGAUCGGCCACACUGGGACUGAGACACGGCCCAGACUCCUACGGGAGGCAGCAGUAGGGAAUCUGCCGCAAUGGACGAAAGUCUGACGGAGCAAUGCCGCGUGAGUGAAGAAGGUUUUCGGAUCGUAAAACUCUGUUGUAAGGGAAGAACAAGUACGUUAGUAACUGAACGUACCUUGACGGUACCUUACCAGAAAGCCACGGCUAACUACGUG
rnacentral:rRNA from 1 species